rnacentral:rRNA from 1 species
GACGAACCGUCCUAACGUUGUUCGGAAUCACUGGGCUUAAAGGGCGCGUAGGCGGGCUGCCAAGUCCGGGGUGAAAGCCCCCCGCUCAACGGGGGAACGGCCUUGGAUACUGGCGGCCUGGAGGAAGGUAGGGGCAGAUGGAACUCUCGGUGGAGCGGUGAAAUGCGUAGAUAUCGGGAGGAACGCCGGUGGCGAAAGCGAUCUGCUGGACCUUUUCUGACGCUGAGGCGCGAAAGCCAGGGGAGCAAACGGG